rnacentral:rRNA from 1 species
UACGUAGGGGGCAAGCGUUGUCCGGAUUUAUUGGGCGUAAAGAGCGUGUAGGCGGCUUGGCAAUUCCGCUGUGAAAACUCGAGGCUCAACCUCGAGACGUCGGUGGAAACUGCCUCGCUAGAGUCCGGAAGAGGAGAGUGGAAUUCCUGGUGUAGCGGUGAAAUGCGCAGAUAUCAGGAAGAACACCCGUGGCUAAGGCGGCUCUCUAGUACGGUACUGACGCUGAGACGCGAAAGCGUGGGGAGCGAACAGG